UACGGGGGGAGCAAGCGUUGUUCGGAUUUACUGGGCGUAAAGGGCGCGUAGGCGGCCACGACAAGUCAGUUGUGAAAUCUCUGGGCUUAACUCAGAACGGUCAACUGAUACUGUCGGGCUAGAGUGCAGAAGGGGCAACUGGAAUUCUCGGUGUAGCGGUGAAAUGCGUAGAUAUCGAGAGGAACACCUGCGGCGAAGGCGGGUUGCUGGGCUGACGCUGACGCUGAGGCGCGAAAGCUAGGGGAGCGAACGGG
rnacentral:rRNA from 1 species